rnacentral:rRNA from 1 species
GAUGUUAAUUUUAGGUCUGGCCUGCCCACUGAAAUAUUUAAAUGGCCGUGGUAUUUUGACCGUGCUAAGGUAGCAUAAUCAUUAGUUUUUUAAUUGAAAGCUGGAAUGAAGGGUUAGAUAAAAAAAUAACUGUCUCUAUUUAAUUUUAUUAGAAUUUUAUUUUUAAGUUAAAAAGCUUAAGUUAAAUUAAAAGACGAGAAGACCCUAUAGAGUUUUAUUAUAAUUUAUAUUUUUUAUUUUAGAAUUUAUUUAUUAAAUUUGAUUUAUAAUUUGAUUGGGGCGAUUAAAAAAUUUAUUUAACUUUUUUUGUAAUAUAACAUUGAUUUAUGAAUUAUUGAUCCAAUUUUUUUGAUUAUAAGAUAAAAUUACCUUAGGGAUAACAGCGUAAUUUUUUUAGAAAGUUCAUAUUGAAAAAAAAGAUUGCGACCUCGAUGUUGGAUUAAAAUUAAUUUUUGGUGUAGAAGCUAAAAUAUUAGGUCU